CUUCUUUCAAUAAAGGAUGGGAGUUGCAGCCCCAUGCAACUGAAUUCAAACGGUAACAUGGAACACUGUUGAGAGAAACACCUCUGUAUAAGUCUCAUCUUGCCUGCAGCCUUGCCGCCUACAGUGCUGAGCGUCGCUGGUCUCCGGCCCACAGACCCUGGCCAAUUGUGACGUCCCCCUGGGGGGGGUUGCUCCGUGUGUGUGACCGAGCCCCGAGUCUGACACUGCUUGUGAUGGGCUCCUCCAGGGGCAAGUCGGACAAGGCUGGGACCAUUCUCAGGCCAACUGCGGCUUUUCCUCUCCACCCUUAGCAAUUCUCAACACCAACAUCUCUGCUAGAUCUCUGUCUCCUCCGUGGUUUGGUCACCUGCUUUCUGCCGACAUACAGACUCAGGUACCAGCGGGGUCAAAUACUCCACCACAUGCUCAGCGAUCCCAGUGACAGCUGCCUGCUCCAUGCCUUUGCCUGUCCUGAGUCCUCUUGUCUGUCUGAGCCUUGUCCCCAACCUGCCCUUCCUCGGUCAGACACAGAGGUCAGCGAUCAAUGGACCACACAUCAGGCCUGGAGUUUGGGAUGUGUUUGGAGGACACCUGAGGCCAAGGUCACAUUUGGAUUCUG